rnacentral:snRNA from 1 species
GUGCUUCUUUCAGCAACACAUAUAAAAUUGCAACAAUACAGAGAAGAUUAGCAUGGCCCCUACACAAGCAUGACAUGCAAAUUCAUGAAGCAUUCCAUAAUAUU